UGUGUUAUGGAGACACUGGUGGUACGAGGAGGAAAGAAAGACAAAACAGAUGGCGUGGAGGACUGGGGGCAGACGAGCACAGGUGGACUGGAUGGACAGACGGAGAAGAAGAGGAUGAAGAGGAGUAGGAGAAGGAAAAUGGAGCCUCUCUCUCUCUCUCUCUCUCUCUCUCUCUCUCUCUCUGUCUCUCUCUCUCUCUCUCUCUCUCUCUCUCUGUCCUUCUGAAAGGACGUGGCAGAGGAACAGAAGGCUCUUUGGCCGGUCCUCGUCAAUCCCCACACACAGGUGCUCAGUGACAGAGUGGAUCUGCGUACGGCGUUUAUCUCUCCCCGGGUUCUCGCUGCUGUACGGAGGAGAAACACUCGUCUGAUUGGAAAACCGUGUGAGCAUGUGGAAGCCAUCAGAGCACGGCCGGCCCGGCACUCCUCCCUCCCCGUCCCAUCACCCCCAUGCUGUCUGCGGCCCGCAGCUUCCUGUUUCCUGCCCUCAGAAAACAAACGAGGGGAGAAGGGAGAAAAAAGAAGGGAAAGAAGGGAAAGAAGGGAAAGAAGGGAAAGAAGGGAGUCCUGAUUCUGCAGAUUAAUGUGCCACAAACUGGUGACUUCCUACAAGCAGUUUUCUCACAGCAACGCCUGGCACCAGGAUACAGAUAAAUCUGUCAAAAAUAAAACAGCAGUGAACUGAUAAAACACCAAGCUCCCUGAUGCAGGAGAUAAAUUCCAGAGCUCGGCUCUUCAUUCGGCCGAGUGGAUCUCCUGAGGAGAACAAAACAGAAACGGCGUAACAGAGAAAAUCUCCCUCACGACAGGAUCGAGCUCGGAUCCUGUGAAAUAAAUCAGACAGGAACGCUGAUGGACUGUGGGAUUUACUCUGGGAAAUCCUCGGCCCACCUGACAGGAAGUUCACGCAGACCUGCAACUUCCUGUGGAGCCAAAUAAGGAAUUUCCACACCUGAGUCACUCUGAUGAUGUUCCCCUGGAGGUUUCCAUCGCGCUCCUGAACCUCGACCUCGACCUCGCCGUCUCUCUCGUCUUCCUCAUUUCUUUGCUCACGCCUUUCUCUCUGAAGAACACAGAACACAGAAACUGCAGAAACUCGACUCUAGAACCGAAAGUUCUAACGUGGAGAAUUAAUUCUAAUAAGAGGUGAAUUCAGGUUAUUCCUUCCUGUUCAACUGCUUGUAAGGUUUUAAUAAAAUGUUUACUGCACAAUAUCACAACUAAUAACUGAAUUAUUAUUUAUUUUCACGUAACAGAGCUCCAGUUAUAUAGCAACAUAAAGACUAAUACAGAGUGAAUAAAGCUUCUCUAAUCAUCUAAUUUGAGCUCUAUUUUAAAAAAAUAAUAACAAUGUUAAUUAACUCUUUAUGCUUUGUUCCUUAAAACAAAGUGUUAUCCGUUUUUCUAUUUUCAGUUUUAUCUGAGUCUCUUUUUAUUGUACGGAAGUUAAAUUUAAUCAGAAAGGAUGCAGCCUCUCUGGGCAGAAACGUGGCUGGUUAUUAAUAACGGCGGAGGAAACAGAACGUCAAUAAAUAACUCCAGAAAAACCAGCCUGUGUUAGUGCUUUCAGUCUGACCAUGAAGUAUUCAGACGUGUUUCUCACCACGCUAAUGAAAUAAACUCCUCAAUCACCACAUCACAUCCUGAAACCCCUGAAAUUCAUCAUCGUUUCUGUGUCCACAAAAUGUCGAAAUGUUGAAAUGUUGUGUAUUAAAUGUUUAAAAACAGGUUUCCUAAUGAAAAAUGAUGAAAAGUUGCACACAAGAAUCACACCUUCACACAGAAACUAUGUCCAAUAUCUUAUUAUACACAUUAUAAAACCAGUUACACAGAGACAGGAAGGGGUUUAACUUUACCACACACACAUGCUGCCCCCUGCUGGUGAU